UACAGAGGGUGCAAACGUUGCUCGGAAUUAUUGGGCGUAAAGCGCGUGUAGGCGGUCCGCUAAGUCAUCUGUGAAAGCCCAUGGCUCAACCAUGGAAGUGCAGCUGAUACUGGCGGGCUAGAGUCCCGGAGAGGGUGGUGGAAUUCCCAGUGUAGAGGUGAAAUUCGUAGAUAUUGGGAGGAACAUCGGUGGCGAAGGCGGCCACCUGGACGGGUACUGACGCUGAGACGCGAAAGCGUGGGGAUCAAACAGG
rnacentral:misc_RNA from 1 species